CUGUGUAUUAUAAACAGUUAUGGCUCAAAAUCUCACAGGUUUAUUCAACGUCCAAAAAUCAAGGUUAAAAUCACUCUAGAAUUAUGCAAAUUAGUUCCAAUUAUACUUAAAUCAUCAAAGAAAAUCAAAUUCCAAUUUUUUUCACAGAAAUCAUCAUUGGCAUCUCACCAGAAAUCUAAUGGAGCAAUAAUCAUCUAAAAAACAAUCACAAACACACAC
rnacentral:lncRNA from 1 species